CUUUAAGCCCCCCCUCCAAUCCAGAUGCAGCCCCCCCCAAUAUAUGACAGAGUGGGAGAGCAAACCAGGACCAAGCUGGCAGAUGCAACACUUACUUCUCGCAUAUCUAUUCAGAAGUUUUGUUGCGUCUCUCCCAGUUUAGUAAUUUCAAGCGCGGUCUUGUGUUGGAGACUGGUUUCGGAGGGUUAAUGCAUCUAAAAAUAGCUCACAAGCUUAACUUGAUAUUCAGUGCAUCCUUGAUGGUCAGAGUAAAUCCAGAUGAAUGCAUUUUAGCAUUGGACCAAACAAGGAAAAUACCAAUUACAGACCAGGAAGUAAACGAUGCAUUUGGUCUGCCACAAGGAAGCAGGACCAUUCCUCCAGGCCACUCAGAUUUAUCUGUAGUUUGUAUAGAGUUCAGCAGGUUGGCAUCAUCCAUGAGUACCGAAGGCGUACAUAGUUUGAAGGCUGCUGAAUUUAUCUUAUCUAAGGCAGUAGAUGAGAAUUCAAGCAAAGUGGAGUGUGAAUGCUUCAAGAUAGCUUUUGUAAUUUUCUCGUUUGGUCAUGUUCUGAACCCGUGCGCCAAGCACGACUACACUAGUGUUGAUUACUGGGCAGCACUGGUUAUGCCGUCGGAGAUAAAUUACUACGACUGGUGUAGGCUUGUCAAAUACAGUUUGAUGAAAGGGGUUAGGAAAAUGAAGAUUGACAUUCACAAUGGGAACACAACAAUCCACAUUAUUGGUUGUCACCUUCUCCUCCAGGUAUAUUGCACAACAAGAUAAAAAUUGUGUUACUAUUGCAAGGGAAUAUUAUACGUGACCAGAUCAUCAGCAAAAAGGCAACAAGCUAUGAAUGCAUGACCCUUAUUCUUCGCCGCUUAGCACAAAUCGAGCAGAAAAAUUCAACAAAUGGAGAUGGUGCAAUUUGGCGAAAGUUCAUGGAACCAGACUUUACGCAUAGACCCAUUGUUUGCCGUUUCAGUCCAAACCGAACUCUUAAUGGAGAAACACAUCGACCAAUGCUGAAUGAUAUUUUGAAGAAAAGGAUUGUCGUUCUCGACCCCCAAGCAGGCCCAUUUGGAUUUAUGACCGAUCGAGUCAAAUUCCAUGAACAAGUCAAUCAUGCCAUCUACUGGAUGGAGAAGAGAGUUCCCUACAUUGAUGAUUGAAAAAAUCCCAAGUGAGCAGUUCGGCAUCUAUUCGUUAUUCAUGGCAAGGCACUACGACGGCGAGUCACUACGGGUCCCGUCCACGAAGGAAAUCGGUACCAAACGAAAUCCAAACACGAUGAAACUUUAUGAUGAUUUUCUAUAGACCAAAAGGGACCCUAGAACAUUCAGGA